GUCUGCUGUCAAUCCUUCAGGUCUACCCGUGGAAAGCAUCGGAAACUGCCAAGAUGGAGUACGGUAGAGGACAAGGGAACUCCCUGUGUAGCGGUGAAAUGCGUAGAUAUCUGGAAGAACACCAGUGGCGAAGGCGGCUGUCUGGUCUGAAACUGACGCUGAGGCUCGAAAGCAUGGGUAGCAAACGGGAUUAGAUACCCUGGUAGUCCAUGCCGUAAACGAUGAGUGCUAAUUGUUGUGAGGGUUUCCGCCCUUCAGUGCUGUAGCUAACGCAUUAAGUAUCCCGCCUGGGGAGUACGACCGCAAGGUUGAAAACUCAAAGGAAUUGACGGGGGCCCGCACAAGCGGUGGAGCAUGUGGUUUUAAUUCGA
rnacentral:rRNA from 1 species